AACCAUGUUUGGGAUAGUUAAUUACUACAAUUGGGAUUGAUGGAAAUGAUGGUAUGUACCUAAUUACUUGGGUUAUCAUUAAAGCUGAAUCCAAGGACAACUGGUCUUGGUUCUUAGAGCUUCAUUAGCUUGACAUUAGCUUGUACCGGAAAAGAGGUCAGUCGACAUUCAUAUCUAACUAGUAAAAGGUACCAUUAUAAUUUAUAUAUUUACAUUGGACAA
rnacentral:lncRNA from 1 species